rnacentral:lncRNA from 1 species
AAAAUAGCCUGCCACUGACAGCCACCCUCCUCCUUGCUUCUGGACUCAGAGCUGUGCCACUAAAGAUUCACAAGGCUAAAUUCUCCCCAAAGAUAAAAUCAUAAAUUAGAUUAUAUUUUUCCUAGCAAGCACUACUGAAAAUGCAGCAAGGAAGUGGAUUUUUAAAAACACUAAAGAAUUUUCCAUCCCGGGUUCCCAAGAAUCCAAGCUGGAAGCUUGCAUCGUGAAGAACUAUGUUAAAGGGUCUCAGCAUUAGGAAGGUUGAGAACCGCUGGCCCAGUGCUGACAGCAGUGCUUGGGUGAACGGGAGCUGGCCAGCAUCUACAGAGGAAGAAUUCCAAAUGCGAAUCAUCGGUCUAAGCACUUUCACUUCAGUCUCUCCAUCUUGGAAGUGUGGCUGCCAGGGGCCACACAAGAUGUCUGUAGC